rnacentral:rRNA from 1 species
GAUGAACGCUGGCGGCGUGCCUAAUACAUGCAAGUCGAGCGAACAGACGAGGAGCUUGCUCCUCUGACGUUAGCGGCGGACGGGUGAGUAACACGUGGAUAACCUACCUAUAAGACUGGGAUAACUUCGGGAAACCGGAGCUAAUACCGGAUAAUAUAUUGAACCGCAUGGUUCAAUAGUGAAAGACGGUUUUGCUGUCACUUAUAGAUGGAUCCGCGUCGCAUUAGCUAGUUGGUAAGGUAACGGCUUACCAAGGCAACGAUGCGUAGCCGACCUGAGAGGGUGAACGGCCACACUGGAACAGAGAAACAGUCCACACUCCUACGGGAGGCAGCAGUAGGGAAUCUUCCGCAAUGGGCGAAAGCCUGACGGAGCAACGCCGCGUGAGUCAUGAAGGUCUUCGGAUCGUAAAACUCUGUUAUUAGGGAAGAACAAAUGUGUAAGUAACUAUGCACGUCUUGACGGUACCUAAUCAGAAAGCCACGGCUAACUACGUG